UAACACAUGGAUAACUGUGGUAAUUCUAGAGCUAAUACAUGCUAAAAACCUCGACUUCGGAAGGGGUGUAUUUAUUAGAUUAAAAACCAAUGCCCUUCGGGGCUCUUUGGUGAUUCAUGAUAACUUAACGAAUCGCAUGGCCUUGCGCCGGCGAUGGUUCAUUCAAAUUUCUGCCCUAUCAACUUUCGAUGGUAAGAUAGAGGCUUACCAUGGUGUCGACGGGUAACGGGGAAUUAGGGUUCGAUUCCGGAGAGGGAGCCUGAGAAACGGCUACCACAUCCAAGGAAGGCAGCAGGCGCGCAAAUUACCCAAUGCUCAUCGAGCGAGGUAGUGACGAUACAUACUGAUACAGAGCUCUUUUGGGUUUUGUAAUUGGAAUGAGUACAAUCUAAAUCCCUUAACGAGGAACAAUUGGAGGGCAAGUCUGGUAAACUCUGGUGCUAGACUGUCCCCAGCAGUGGGCGUUGAUCGCCUGCGAGGUAUCUGGUACGGGGAAGUCUUUUGUGAAGCUAUCCCGUGGAGUGCAUCUCCGUAACGCCCGGAAAGAUAUCGAUGAUGGAGGUCAUCCCAGGUACGUGCUAAAUCAUGUCAGUGAUGACGGUGAUAAUUAUGGCCAGCAGCCGCGGUAAUUCCAGCUCCAAUAGCGUAUAUUAAAGUUGUUGCGGUUAAAAAGCUCGUAGUUGAACCUUGGGCUUGGCUGGCCGGUCCGCCUCACCGCGUGUACUGGUCCGGCCGAGCCUUUCCUUCUGGGGAAUCUCAUGCCCUUUACUGGGUGUGUUGGGGAACCAGGACUUUUACUUUGAAAAAAUUAGAGUGUUCAAAGCAGGCCUAUGCUCGAAUACAUUAGCAUGGAAUAAUAGAAUAGGACGGCAGUUCUAUUUUGUUGGUUUCUAGGACCGCCGUAAUGAUUAAUAGGGAUAGUCGGGGGCAUCAGUAUUGAAUUGUCAGAGGUGAAAUUCUUGGAUUUAUUCAAGACUAACUACUGCGAAAGCAUUUGCCAAGGAUGUUUUCAUUAAUCAGUGAACGAAAGUUAGGGGAUCGAAGACGAUCAGAUACCGUCGUAGUCUUAACCAUAAACUAUGCCAACU
rnacentral:rRNA from 1 species